ncrna:Pyramidobacter piscolens W5455 NiCo riboswitch
ACGGCACAAACUGAACAGGCCGUCCCCUCGGGGAGCGGGCCGGGCCGCCGCGGCGCGGCAGCGGACGACGAUCCGCGGGACGGAA